AGCAAUUUGUGGGAAUGUCUUCUUAGUGUAAUAGACAUAGUAUAUUAGGGUUUUAUCAUUUAAUAUAUUAUUUUUAUUACAAUUAAGAAUUCAAAACUUUUGAAUGUAAUUCUAGAUAAAAUAUUGAUAAUGACAAAAUUUUAUUUAUAUGUCUUGACCAAAUCUUGUGCCAGCAGUCGCGGCAACACAAGGAAGACAAGUGUUAUUCAUCUUAAAUCGGUUUAAAGGGUACCUAGACGGUAAAUUAAGCCUUAAAUGGUACGUUUUUACUAGAGUUAUAUAUGCGUGAGGAAUAUGUGAGUAUUACCAGAGUAGAGAUGCAAUUUUUUGAUACUGUUGAGACUGGUAAAGGCAAAAGCAAACCUUUAUAUAUUAACUGACGUUGAGGGACGAAGGCUUGGGGAGCGAAUAGGAUUAGAUACCCUAAUAGUCCAGGCAGAGAAUUAUGAAUGUCAUAGAAUAGAUAUA
rnacentral:rRNA from 1 species